UACAAGGUGCUGCAUGGUUGUCGUCAGCUCGUGCCGUGAGGUGUCGGGUUAAGUCCCAUAACGAGCGCAACCCCUAUCAUUAGUUGCCAUCAGGUCAAGCUGGGGACUCUAAUGAAACUGCCUACGCAAGUAGUGAGGAAGGUGGGGAUGACGUCAAGUCCUCAUGGCCUUUAUGACCAGGGCUACACACGUACUACAAUGGCCGAUACAAAGGGCAGCGACACUGCGAGGUGAAGCCAAUCCCGUAAAAUCGGUCUCAGUCCGGAUUGGAGUCUGCAACUCGACUCCAUGAAGUUGGAAUCGCUAGUAAUCGUGGAUCAGCAUGCCACGGUGAAUACGUUCCCGGGCCUU
rnacentral:rRNA from 1 species